UUUCAACAAUCUUGAGGAAAGAGUUUGCACAGAAUAAGCCAUUACGACAGACUGCUUGCUAAUCUCAACGGCAAGAUUCUGCAAUAACUGGUAAACCAGGUUGGUCCUUAUGAUCAUCGUUAACUGCCUGUUCAUAUAGAAGAGCAAGACUGGAAGCUGUGUGUGUGGGCAGGAGCUGUCUAACAGAGGUGUCUCCGUCGGAUCACUAGGUACUGAGCCAGUUCUUUUGUUGGGGAUCCCCAGAUUUUAGUGUUUCAGGGUCUUUAUUUUGGACCUACUCUCUUUAAUCAAAAAAGACUCCCCUAAUCUCUUGCCUAGGUAAAAGAAGGGGUGGGGGAAACAUCUGUCCACUAUACUUCCCUCAUUUCUACGUUUUAGUUCCACACUAUGAAGAUAUGACAGUAAGGGGAGGCAAACAACCCAAACGACUGGGUGAGAGGGGAGGGAGGUGAGCACAUGCAAGAUGAAAGACAUCCAAGUUAAGACUUGCAUAUUUUUUUACUUAUCAAUUGAUAUUUACUGAUAUCAACAGAGAUGUGUCACCAAAAUCAGCAACAGGAAAAACAAAACCAAAAUUUAGCUCUUACUUCAGAAUAUCCUAAUUAUCAGACCUUACUAUCUAUCUAUCUAUUUAUUUAUUGAGACGGAGUCUUGCUCUUGUCGCCCAGAAUGGAGUGCAAUGGCACAACCUCAGUUCACUGCAACCUCCGCCGCCCAGGUUCAAGCGAUUCUCCCGCCUCAGCCUCCUCCUGAGUAGCUGGGAUUACAGGCACCCGCCACCAGCUAAUUUUUGUAUUUUUAGAGACGGGGUUUUGCCAUGUUGGCCAAGCUGGUCUCAAACUCCGCCUCGGCCUCUCAAAGUGCUGGGAUUACAGGCGAGAGCCACCGUGCCUGACCAGACCCUACUAUUUUUAAAAGUUGACUUUUUUUUUUACUGAGUUUUUCAUUCAUAUUUCAAAAUAGCUCUGAAAUUAGGAAGGAGGUAUGUUCCUGAGUGCAUCAAUUACAAUGAAAAAUUACUAAACCAGAAAGAUUUCCCAGCCCUAGAUGUGAGUUCACUACACACCCCAGAUGAAUUAGCUAAAAUAUCCCAAACUAUAAAAAUAAUUCCAGACUCAAGAGUUUUCCUUCAAGAAAUAUUUUUAAAAAUAUCAUUAUACGGCUGGGCACGGUGGCUCACGCCUGUAAUCCCAGCACUUUGGGAGGCUGAGGCUGGUGGAUCACGAGGUCAGGAGUUCAAGACCAGCCUGACCAACAUGGUGAAACCCCGUCUCUACUAAAAAAAAUACAAAAAUCAGCCAGGCGUAGCUGAGGCAGGAGAAUUGCUUGAACCCGGGAGGCGGAGGUGGCGGUGAGCCGAGAUUGCGCCAUUGCACUCCAGCCUGGGCAACAAAGCGAGACUCCGUCUCAAAAAAAAAAAAAAAAAAAAAACAUUAUACUUAAAACAUCACUGCAUGUAUAGGUUUUGUAAAAUGUGCACUGGAGGAGACAGGUGAGUCUAACAUGACUCAAGUGAUAGCCUCCUCCAUUUCUGUAAGAAUUAUACACAGUAAUUGCAGAUAAGUGCUUAUAAAUCUAAACAGAAGAAUUUCAGACUAUUCUUUACUUCUUUAAAAAACAGAUCAGAAAAUGAAUUGAUUCUCCAGCAUCCCAUGUCAUUUUCCUCAAAUCUUUGGCAAUUAAUGUAUACUCCCUCUAGGACUGUAUUUUUCACUUUCCCAGUAUCUUUUAAUUUCUUUCCAACUUUCAAUCAAACUAAUAUAAAUAAUUCAACUCUUCUUUCAAAUCCCCUCUAAGUAAAUAGCUCCAUAUUCUCAAGAACAAAUUACAGAUGGGAAAAGGUAUUUGAUGAAAUGUACAGCUCACACAAACCAUCUAACUUAAAAGAAAAUUACCUCCCUUUGUAGUAUAAUGGUUACCUGUAAUCUGCCCCAGAAAUCUGGUUCUGUCUGGAUCAAAAGUGAUCUGGGAGGGAUGCAUGAGUCAUGUAGGUGGCUAAUGUCAAUAAUCCAAUUUAAAAUUCAGUGGCAAAAACAGAAGGUCAUAGCCAUUUAUAGGGCUCAUAGCUGAGACUACCUCAGCUAUGAGGGCCGUAUUACCAUCUGUUUAUGCCUCUCCAAAACCCAUCUGACAUAUAGGAGGAUGCUUUUUCAGGGAUCCUAUGUCUCUCUGACUUAGAGACCAUGUAUAGCAAAGCAUUGCUUUCUGAAAGAAUAACAUUAGAGCUAUUUGCAUUUGAUCACCUGGAGAGAUUGUUUAACAUGCAAAUUUCUGGAUGCUGAAGACCUAGUAAGAAUCACUGGGGAUAGAACCAGAAAAUCUGUAUGUUAAACGAGUAUCAGGUAAUUGUGAUGCACACUUCCAUUUGAGAAAUGCUGACAAAGGGAACAAAGAAAUGACAAAAGAAACCACAAGGAAUUCACACUAGGAAAAUUCCUAUUAGCGCACUCAAGAAUAUGGAGGGUAACGGAAAAAAAGGAACUAAACGGUUUAAAACAUCCAGUUAAAGGACCUCCGCUGAACUAUUUAACAAGAGGUUUCUAAUUCUGGUUUUCCAUAACACAUGUCAUAAUGAUGGAAGUACAAAUUCAAUUUCUAUCCAUUUGUAUACAAAAUUUCAAGAAUUGUAAGCACCAACUGACUUACUAAAAAACACAGUACAUAAAGCAAACUAGAGAAACAUUUAAAAAGAAAUUACAAAAAGUUUGCUUUAUCCAAAGGAUGAAGCUCAAAACUCUCCUAUCUUGGAGUUGUGUCAUUUGUUAAGUUAUAGCUUCCCUCCCCCUACCCACAACAUGUCCCAGUCCCUAAACUCAAACUCUUUCACUGUGAUCAACAAAAGCAUUUAUUUGUAUUGGUGUUUUGAAUGAAAAUGGGGGAAAAAACCAAUUAGGGCCAAACAGAUAAUGGUUUUAACAUAAAAUACGGAUAAUGUCUUUUCUAUACUCUAAAGGAGAAUGAAAAAAUAUGCCCAAAGAAUAAGAAGACUGACAGAAUCUUAGCACGUUUUUGAGCUCCUUUGUGAAGCUCUAUUUUCUUAAACACAAUUCAAGUACAUGCUGUUACCAUUUUUAGAUCUACCUGACACAACAGCAAGGAAAUUGUUUCUUUAAAAAAAAAAAAAAAAGCUCCAAGAUCUCUAAUUUUCAAUUAGGCUGCACUAAGUAAACAAGGUUGUUUAAUGAAUAAUAAAAACCUUCAAGAUGGACUGACUUGAAUGGCUUGAAAACUCCGAAGAUUCAUCUUUAAUAUCAUCUUGUCGUCUUUGGACAAGGCGGGAAGCUCGCUGUUUGUACAGCUGAUGUAUUGCUGAUUCAAGUUCAUUAAUCAGUGGCACCUGUAAAAAUACAACACACUCCGUAACACCAAACUCCUCAGCUGCUUAUUUAUUUGAGGGUUCCAUACUAUUUCCGGAUUUCUGAAAAAGUACCCUCUCUAUGGACAGAAUAAUCAUGAAUCCCCAACAGCACACAAGUAGCAAAUUCUGUUUUAUGUUUGGGAAACGACACUUCUUCUUUUAAUCCAUGCAUAGAGCUAUAAUGUCCAGUGCCUAGUUAUUGGAGCAAACAUUAGUUAAGAAAUGUAACACUUCAGUAUUCAUAGAACAAGUAAAGAAAUGUCAACAAUUUUAGAGCUUUUCCCUUAGAGAAUAUUUAAGUACUUAGAAGUCUUUUUAAUAUCUAUUUUUAAUUUUCCAGCAGCAUUAUCUGCAUUGCGAUUUUUGUAGUUCAAAGUAAAACAUUAUCACUGUGUGGUACCAAAAAAGUGCAAUGGCUCUAUAAGUAGGUAAGAACAAGAGUCUGCUAAUUCUCCAAUUUUGGACAUUUCAGUUGCUCUGCCACUCAUAUGUACCAAGUACGUUACAGUAAUCUGUUUACUAUUUUGUAGCUUUAUUACAGAUUUUUUAAUGUAAACAAAAUAAUUACUAGGGCGAAUAAAAUUUCCAGCUAUCACUAACCUCUCUGAACUCAAUAUAUCUCAAAUUUAAAAAGUUGUUCUCUUCCUGUCAAAUGUUUAAAUUCUCCCAUAUUUUAUAAAAAUUUCUUUACAUGAAUUGUGAACUUACAAAGUCAAUAAUUUUUCCAGGUUAAUAUCCCUAAAGCAUUUACUUGAUUCAUAUAGAAUACAAAAGAACAUGAGAGCUAACUUAAAACAGAAAACUUUCUUUUUCUAAAUACCUUAUGUUAUAAUCAAAUGCUAUGAGACUUUCACGUAACACUAAUGACCACUACACAUACCUGAGGAAACCAGAAAUUCUAGUUUCCUGAUGGUUAGUGCAAAUGGAAAACACAUUAUUUAGAGUUUGGGAACACUGGCACCAAGUGUUAUAGCAGCUUCCUGAACUGAACAGACUGCAAAUGGAAAAUAAAAAAAGGCAGGUGGAAUACAGAGAUGUCUGUAAUAAAAGCAAUUUUAUAUACUUGCAUGAUUCCAUUGCAAAAGUAGCAAAUGUUCACAGAAAGGUCAAACUAAUGGAGUUAUUUUGUUCUUUAAUAUGCCACACCAUGGGCAACAAUGUCCCCAAAUCUGUAAUGAUUAUCCUUGAUAGCUGAGUCCAGAGACUCUAUCAUUAAAAUUUAUUAUAAUCUGAUUUUUUUUUAGCAAUUACUGCCACAACAUUGCCAUUUACACUUCCCCAUGCCCUCAUUUUUUUUUUUAAACCAUGAAGUACUAAAGAUAAAUGAGCCUGAGGCAUUCUUUUAUCUUUUAAUCCUAGAGAUUGUUAAGCUUCCUGUACUGUAGGAACUACCCACCUAAGCUGGCAUCAUACAGAAUAUAAUUUUGCAACAUAUAGUUAAGAUUCUGACAAUGUAGUUUUUCUCUUUAGGUUAACUGGAAUGCCUUUUACCGGAGGUCCAGAGAAAAACUCUACUGAGAAUAAAAGCCCUAAACAGACUGUGAGCUCUCAUUCAAGUUUCUUAACAAUAUUGAUUUAUCUCAAGAGUCUGCACCGUGACAAUUUCUUUAUCCUCUCCAAACUCAAAACUCUCACCAAUUAUUACUAUUUUAGGGCCAAAGUUAAGGCAAAGAACCCAAGAAAGAUAAUUACAGGGAAACAAAAACAAUGGCAAGUUAAAAUGAUUUACAAAUAUUUAAAACUUCUUUAAAAACCACCUAAACUUUCAUAAGCAAAGAGGAAAAAAAAAGGGAUCUUUAUCUUUUUACGGUUAACUCUGAAAUAUUAUUAUAGUAUAAUUAUUCAAAGUAUCCAAUUAUUUCUAAGUAUCUCCAAUAUAACAAUUUAUAUUAUCAACUCAGCAGUACUUUUUUGUUUUUUCUUUAUUUUUAAGAUUAUCUUCUAAAGAUCUAAGCUGAGCAGUACUCUUAAAAUGAAAUACACAUGAAAAUGUUAGAAUGAAAUAUAAUACUCAUCUUUAAAUGAAGCUAUGUCUACCUCUCUUUUAAUUAAAACGUAGUCACUGUAUAAGGUUUAAGAUUUGUUCCAAAAAAUCUAAGUGACUCUGUAUAACCACAUUAGCAUAAUCUGAAGUAAACUUCUCUAGGAACAAGGUAAUCGAGAUGAAAUACACUAAUAAUUCAACAAUUAAAAACUAUAAACUAGGUUGUCCUACUUUUGGUAUGAUCUAGCUGAUCAUAUUACUGUCAAAUUUUUUAGAGUUGUGUUUGCAAUUAUGAAUGUCUUAAUUUACUCAAGAAAGUUCCGAAGCAAGCGCCAAGACACUUCAAGAAGCAGCUCUCCAGGGACAAACUCAUAAAGCAUAGUUUAAGAAAAAGAUCCUUUCUCUAGUCACAAAGGUUAUGAGACCAGCUCCCACCAUGCCCACUGGGCUCAGAAGAGUUUUGCCAGUAGGAAGGACAUGACUGUCAACUCUUGACACUUAGGUUCCACUUCCAAUCUUGACUCCAGCUCCCGGCACAGAGGAAUACAGACAAGCCUAUACUUCUUCCCCACCCUAAGCAACUGAUACACCACAAGUGGUAUCAUAACUCAGACUGCAGCUGCUUCUCCAGAAACCAGGUGAUAAAGACAAAACAUGAGAAACCCUACAGAGAGGACAUGGUGAAUGUUAUCUCAUCCUGAAUCUGGCCACAGACUGACUGGAACCAUUAAGACCCAUCAGGAAGAAAGAUCCAUCAGGAAGACAUAGUCUGGCAAUGAUCUUUUCCCAGCCAUUGGUUUUAGGGUAUUCAAGUAAUCAACAAAGAUAACAAAAGUUGAAAUACAUAUUUAACCACACUAUAUGCUUACAGAUUCUAAGCUAAUCUACAUAGCCAAUAACAAAGGGAAAUGUGCCUUCCAAUCCAAAGUUCAGACAGGAUAUUUAAGGACCACAGUUUUAAUUUUUUUUUUUUUAAAGAUAAGGCUGCAAAGUCCACAAAUGCUUAUAAACCAGUGCCUCAACCAAUACUUUUAUCUUAAAGAAAAAAAAUCAAUUAGGAGGUCAUUUGAGAAACUAGCUGUUUGCACCUAAUUUUAAAUGUAAACAAUAAAUAGUAUAAGAAUGCCAAACAUUUUGUCAACUGACUAUCCUAUUGAAAAAAACAAACUUGGGAGAAAUGAAACCUUAGAAAAAAUGAUAUCCAAUGAAAUGGUUUCUGAAAGAAAUCAAGCAUAGGCUUACUUAGAUAAAAACUAUUAGCAACAAUGGUAAUCAUCAUCCAGGGUAAAAAAAAAAAAAAAAAAAAAACUAAUAAAAAUUUGCAACUUUA